CCUACGGGAGGCAGCAGUGGGGAAUAUUGGACAAUGGGCGGAAGCCUGAUCCAGCAACGCCGCGUGAGGGAUGACGGCCUUCGGGUUGUAAACCUCUUUCAGUACCGACGAAGCGAAAGUGACGGUAGGUACAGAAGAAGCACCGGCCAACUACGUGCCAGCAGCCGCGGUAAUACGUAGGGUGCGAGCGUUGUCCGGAAUUAUUGGGCGUAAAGGGCUCGUAGGCGGUUUGUCGCGUCGGGAGUGAAAACACUGGGCUUAACUCAGUGCUUGCUUUCGAUACGGGCAGACUAGAGGUAUGCAGGGGAGAACGGAAUUCCUGGUGUAGCGGUGAAAUGCGCAGAUAUCAGGAGGAACACCGGUGGCGAAGGCGGUUCUCUGGGCAUUACCUGACGCUGAGGAGCGAAAGUGUGGGGAGCGAACAGGAUUAGAUACCCUGGUAGUCCACACCGUAAACGUUGGGCGCUAGGUGUGGGGUCCAUUCCACGGAUUCCGUGCCGCAGCUAACGCAUUAAGCGCCCCGCCUGGGGAGUACGGCCGCAAGGCUAAAACUCAAAUGAAUUGACGGCUGAGACNGCGAGACGACGACGAGGAGAGG
rnacentral:rRNA from 1 species